UCAGGUGGUUAUUGCGGUGAGGUCCCACCUCUUCCCAUUCCGAACAGAGAAGUUAAGCUCACUUGCGCCGAUGGUACUGCAAUGCAAUGCGGCCGCGUAGGUAGCCGCCUCCU
rnacentral:rRNA from 1 species